CUAACACAUAUCUAAAUUGAUUUUCCCUUCUAUUGUAGAAGAACAUUGAAUAUGCUAAUCUUUUAAGAUAUUCACUCGAUCUUGAUCUGAAAAUCUUGCUAGACGUAAAGAUUUUUCUUCAAGCUUCUAUUCCCAAGCAAAAUGUACUAUGCACUAUCGGUUCCUUUCUAAAGCCUUUGUUCUACCCAGAAUGAUUGAAAAACUCCUAACUUCAUUUCACAACAACCUUUAUACAUUUCUACUAAAACCUUUAAUGGAGUAUGCAUCUUUCUUCAUAGAUAGAGUAUCAUAGGUAUAUCCCUUAAUCACUCUUUGAAUCCAUCUUUCUUCUUUGAUCACGGUCUUUCAAGAUGUAGCACUUGCUACCAAAGACAAGUACGUAUUUAAUAUUUGGUUUUCUUCCUUUCCAAAGCUCAUACAGAGUAGCUUUGGUUCUAGAUUAAACGGUCACACGAAUAUGCAUGUGACAAGCAGUGUUCAUAGCUUCAUCCCAAAAUUGGUAAAAAGAUUCUUUGCAUGCAACAUAACUCUAGUAACUUCUUGCAGGGUUCUAUUCUAGCAUUCUACAACUUCAUUUUGCUGAGGUGUGAUGGGUGCUUAAAAAUUCAUGACUAGUCCCUUAAGUAGAACAAAAUUCAGAGAACUUGGAAUUCUCAAAUUCCUUGCCAAGGUCACUCCUUAUCUUUAUGAUUUCACUUCCAUUUUCUUUUUGAAUACGUAGGAAUAGCUCUUUGAAAACAUCAAAAGUGCCAAAUUUUUCUCUGAUGAAGUUAAUCCACGUGUAUCUUGAAUAAUCAUCCACACAUCAAAAACAUAUAUUUUCCCCCAAGAGUUUCCACGUGCAUAGGCCCCAUGAGGUUCAUAUGAAGUAACUCAAGAACUUUUGAGGUGGUCAGAUGUUGGAGCUUCUUGUGGGGCAUCUUGGUUUGCUUACCUAUUUAGAAAUCUCCAUAUAUUUUGUCUUCUUCAAUUUUCAACUUUGGAAAACCCCUGAUGGCUUCUUCAUAUGUGAUGUUCUUCGUGCUCUUGAGUUUAAGAUGGCCAAGUUUUUGGUUUCAUAACUUAGUUUCAUCAAUCUUGAAUAUCAAACAUGAUGAGGGUUGAGAUAUCCACAUAUAGAAAUUGUCAUUGGACUUGGAACCCUUCACUAACACUUCUUGCUCUUUGCUAGUGAAAAUACAUUCAAUCUUGUUGAAUUUCACAUUCAGACCUUGAUCACAUAGUUGAAUGAUGUUAAUCAAUCUUGCAGUUAGACCUUUUACCACCAGCACAUCCUCAAGGCAAUGGAAAUAUGGACUGGCUAGUUUACUUAUGCCCUGAAUUCCUCCACUUGCUCUAUAAAAAAAUUAACAUAAAUAUUGGAGUAUGGUUUCAACUCUUCAAGAUAUGUCUUUUAUAUAGUCAUGUUCCUGGCCAUAGACCAUCAAAAUUCCAAUCUUCUCUUGAGGAAACUCUAAGUGAUGUAUGAGUUAUGAGACUUGUGGCUAUUACUUUGGGCUUCAUUUCUUAAACCUUCUGGCCCUAUUUUUUAAAUCUUUGGUUGACUAUAGGAUCGAGGAUAUCCAUAGAGUAUAUAACACUAGGGCCUUAUGUGUCCAUAUGUUCCACAAUGAUGACACCUCGAAGAAAAAUUCUUGCAACUUCUGUAUUGAAGGGACACGUGUUGAGAAGGUUGUUGAGACAUGUGGUCCAUUAUCAUAAACUUAGUUUUCUUCUCAGGAGUGACAAACUUCUUAGAAGGAAUUUUUAUUUUCUUGUUCAUGGAGCUAGAAUCAAAUCAUAUUCCCUUCCUAUUUCUUGACAUCUUCCUAACUUCCAAGACUUCAUCUAGCAUACUUGAACCAUUGUUCAACAUACGUACAAAAUUUCCAUAUGUUUAAGCUUGGAAUUUAACAAAGUAUGCACGAUUCUUCUCCCGUGGUGUAAAAGAGCCUAUAUGUUUCAACUAACUCUUCUUUAGUCACGUCUUUAUCACUAGACUCGCCUUCAGACUCAUACUUUCCAAUGUAGGCCAUUACUUUGUUGGUCUUCUUAUUUUCUCUUGUUCUGAGGAAUAAUGUCAGACACGUUGUCUGGAACAUUUGUCCACCAUCUUCUAUCCAAAUUUCUUAAAGAUUUGUUGAACUUUCUUCCAAAAAAAGGCUAUAGCAUAUGAUAGGCUUUCUUCGGUAUCCUUCUCACCUUGAUCCUCAUUUUCUUGAAUGUUGGAUACGAAAGACACACCUUUCUUCAUCUUCUUUUAUCUUCCAUUAAUGGCCACUUCAAAUUUUUGAACAGGGGCAAUGAGCUCGUUAACCUUCAAGGUGCUUAAAUCUUGAGCUUCUUCAAUAGUUGUUACCUUCAUGUCAAACUUCUUAGGCAAAGAUCUGAGGACUUUUUUACCAUACUCUUUUAUGACAUUUUCUCUCCCAAAGCAAAUUAUUUGUUGUCUAUAUCAUGAAUACGAAUGUCAAAGUCAGAUAUGGAUUCAUCUUCCAUCAUUCUAAAAUUUUCAAAGUUAGUUGUGAGGAGUUACAACCUUGACAUACACACUUUUGAUGUGUCAUCAUGUGCAGUGUUGAAAAUAUUUCAUGCUUCUUUGCCUUUAGUAUAUGUGUUAAUCAAUCUUAACAUGUUCUUGUCUACACUAUUGAAUAUAUUAUUCAUGGAUUUGUUGUUUCCAAGAGCUUUAUCAUAUUCAUUUUUGGACGAUUCAGCUUCAUGCUUUAAGCUUGUUGUACCAUCUUGAGAAGUGAUCACAAGAUGUUUACAACAUUUAGCCACAACCUUCCAAAUUUUUUUGUAUGUGGAUUUAAUAAAUGCAAUCAUCUUAGUUUUCCAAUAAUCAUAGUUUGUGCCAUCUGAAAUAGGUGAUUUGUU